rnacentral:rRNA from 1 species
CCUACGGGAGGCAGCAGUAAGGAAUAUUGGACAAUGGAGGCAACUCUGAUCCAGCCAUCCCGCGUGCAGGACGAAGGUUCUAUGGGAUUGUAAACUGCUUUUAUCAAGGAAGAAGGUAUGUCAUUAAGGCGUACUUGACGGUACUUGAAGAAUA